UACGAAGGGGGCAAGCGUUGUUCGGAAUUACUGGGCGUAAAGGGCGCGUAGGCGGCUUACCAAGUCAGGCGUGAAAUUCCCGGGCUCAACCUGGGGGCUGCGCUUGAUACUGAUUGGCUUGAAUGCGGGAGAGGAUAGUGGAAUUCCCAGUGUAGAGGUGAAAUUCGUAGAUAUUGGGAAGAACACCGGUGGCGAAGGCGGCUAUCUGGCCCGUAAUUGACGCUGAGGCGCGAAAGCGUGGGGAGCAAACAGG
rnacentral:rRNA from 1 species